rnacentral:rRNA from 1 species
AUGGAGGUGGUGGCGGAGGCCGGCGCGCACCAGCCGUGGGACCAGUUCAAGGAGGAGGUGGAGAUCAUGGAGGAGGAACACUGCGGCGGCGCUGAUGCGGUGGAGGAGCUGCUGACCAGGGAGAUCAGGAAGCGGCUGGACCACUCCCACGGCCACGGCAGCAGCAAUGGCAGCGGCAACGGCGACGGCGCCCACCACGCCAAUGGCGGAGAAGAAGAGGAAGAAGACGACGAUGCCAGUGGGGGAGACGAGGACGACCACGCCAGUGGCGGGGGAGAGGAAGAAGCGGUGGAGGAGGAGGUCAAGGUCGAGGAGCAGCAGCAGCAGCACAAGAGUAUCGUCUUCGAUCCAGCCAAAGGGCUAUGGAAGUGUCGGCUCUGCGAUUGGACGUACCGCUUGGCUAGUCCUUGCGAAACUGGUAUCCUGAACCAUCAGGGCUAUCGCCACCAGAUCGAAUGGAAUCCCAAAUCGUUAGUUCAGAAAGAACCGUUGUACGGUUCACCGAACAGAGUCCCUGAUAUCAUUACUGAAGUAACUGCCAGUUAUCAUGUCAUGGGAACGAUGCGAUCUAGUACUGAAAAGGAAGACACAAAUGGAACAUUGACUCCAAAAGGCAAAGGGCUUGAAGCACAUGAAAAUGGAAAUGCUCAAGAAAUUAAUCAUGGUCCAAGCAACGGCAAGUUAGAGAAUGGAUCACACUCAAAUGUUUUUCAUCAGGUCCCCAACGGCGCUAAACCUAAGAUAGAAUACAUGUUUGAAAUCAACAAGACUGAAAUUUAUCCAACUGAAGUUCACAAGGACGGACAUGUCACCGAGGCUGAACCGAAGGUCGAAGAGUAUGACCUCGAGAAGAUUUUGGAUCAGCAAGAAACUUAUGAACUGUUCUGUCCCAACUGCACCUCGUGCAUAACUCGGAGGGUCAUCCUGAAGAAGAGGAAAAGGACAGUAAGAACAACACCCGCCGAUGAACCGUCAAAGAGACCGUAUAUUGAAGGACAUGUGCCUCCUGUUCCUUUACCUGAUAGGGUUGAGGAAGAAUCGCCCGAAGUAUUCAGAUGCUUGUCAUGCUUCUCCUUCUUCAUUCCAACAGGAUGCAGUUUCAACAUAUUCCGUAUAUUUGGGAGGAGGGAUGUGGACGGACAACCGGAUGUUCUGCCUCCUCCUGCAUCAGAGGACAUGCCUCCUCACUCUGAAAAUUGCACAAGCUGGCUUCUGUCUUGUUUUCAGCCAGGAGAUAGCCCAAACCAACCUCAUCGUGCUGAUCCAACGACGGUGCCAUUGCUGUCCGGUACACAGAGCUCUGACAAUACAAACACAAUAACUGAAUCUCAAUCUAGCACAUCGUAUGUUUAUCAUAGUGAAGGCAAGGUUGUAAAACCAGAGCAUUCGACAGUCAAAUCACCUUCGGAGAACCAAACUGAUCCUGCAGAUUCACCAAGGAUUCCACCGUCACCUGGUAUAGCGACUCCCAGUGGUACAACCACAAUGACAACUGAAACCAACGAAUCACAUGUUCAGCAUAGUCAUGGCACACAGCAGUUGACAGUUGACUCAUCUUCCCAACAUCAGAAAACCACCACUACAGUUGAAGACAAUGAAACUACCACUACAGUCACCUCAGAAAAAAACACCACAUCUUCUACAACCACAACAGGAGCACCUAGCGCAUCACCUCAAACAUCAUCCUCUACAGAAUAUUUGAAGCAAGACGUAUCCGAAGUGGUGACCGGUAAAAUGCCUUCUGGUGGAGCUAUCAUGGAUCCAACUCACCCCCAAAUUAGCUACAAAGAUACUCACGGAACUUCAGAGAAUGGCUCAUUUCCCAGCUAUGCAAUUCACACACCAGACUUCAAGUUCGAUAGCCCCAUUGCGACAAAUAUCACACAAGGUUUCAUCCCAAGGGGCGAUAUACCAAGCUCGCCGAAUCCUCAACUGGCAGAUCAUGUUGUGGUACCAGUUUCUGGAGAUGUGAAUCAGCUUGCUCCUAGACCCCAACGGAGGGAUGACUGGGAUAUACUGAAAGCCAUAGUGUAUGGAGGCUUAGUGGAGUCAGUCACCAGCCUCUCAGUUGUUUCGGCAGCAGCGUCGAGCGGCGCCAAAACAUUGGACAUAUUCAUCCUGGGAAUAGCCAACCUCAUCGGAGGACUUCCUCUCAUUUUCCACAAUAUCGCUGAUCUAAGAGACAUCCGAGACGUGGACGGGGACGACGAGCAGGUCGGCCACUACUGGCUGCAGCUCGGGAGGCGGUCCAAAGCCCGGCUCCACAUGGUCAUGGCCCUGCUCUCGUACAUGGUGUUCGGGCUGCUCCCGCCGGUCCUCUACGGGCUGUCGUUCCGCGAGAGCAACGACCGGGAGAACAAGAUGAUGGCCGUCGCCGGUGCUUCGCUCGCCUGCAUUGCUCUGCUGGCGCUCGGAAAGGCACAGGUCCACACCAGGACCUACUUCAAGACCCUCAUGUACUACCUGAUGAUCGCCGUGAGCUCAUCGGGUCUGUCAUACGUCGCCGGCGUGCUGAUCACGCGGCUACUGGUGCAGUACGGAAUCAUUGAGCAAGGCGGCUCGGCUCGUGCUCCUCCGGGGCUGUCGUCGCCGUUCGCUUAUGCUGCUGGGGCAGAGUCGUCUGCAUGGGCCUCAUUCUGA